UACGUAGGGUGCGAGCGUUGUCCGGAAUUACUGGGCGUAAAGAGCUUGUAGGUGGUUUGUCGCGUUGUUCGUGAAAUCUCACGGCUCAACUGUGAGCGUGCGGGGCGAUACGGCAGACUAGAGGUACUGCAGGGAGACUGGAAUUCCUGGUGUAGCGGUGGAAUGCGCAGAUAUCAGGAGGAACACCGGUGGCGAAGGCGGGUCUCUGGGCAGGUAAACUGACGCUGAGAAGCGAAAGCGUGGGAGCGAACAGG
rnacentral:rRNA from 1 species